GGAUUAGAUACCCCGGUAGUCCACGCCGUAAACGGUGGGUACUAGGUGUGGGUUUCCUUCCUUGGGAUCCGUGCCGUAGCUAACGCAUUAAGUACCCCGCCUGGGGAGUACGGCCGCAAGGCUAAAACUCAAAGAAAUUGACGGGGGCCCGCACAAGCGGCGGAGCAUGUGGAUUAAUUCGAUGCAACGCGAAGAACCUUACCUGGGUUUGACAUGCACAGGACGUGCCUAGAGAUAGGUAUUCCCUUGUGGCCUGUGUGCAGGUGGUGCAUGGCUGUCGUCAGCUCGUGUCGUGAGAUGUUGGGUUAAGUCCCGCAACGAGCGCAACCCUUAUCUUAUGUUGCCAGCACGUUAUGGUGGGGACUCGUGAGAGACUGCCGGGGUCAACUCGGAG
rnacentral:rRNA from 1 species